ensembl:lncRNA
GUGAGAAGCUCUCUCUCUCUCUCUCUCUCUCUCUCUCUCUCUUCCAACAAACCCAAAGACAGUACAACUCUCUACCACGGUGAGAAGCUCUCUCUCUCUCUCUCUCUCUCUCUCUCUCUCUCUCUCUCUCUCUCUCUCUCUCUCUCUCUCCCUUCCAACAAACCCAAAGACAGUACAACUCUCUACCACGAUGAGAAUCUCUCUCUCUCUCUCUCUCUCUCUCUCUCUCUCUCUUCCAACAAACCCAAAGACAGUACAACUCUCUACCACGGCAUCCUCGUAAGAACCCCAGCUCCGUCUCUCAGGACUCGUGGGAUCGCGCCUACCCUCCAGGAGAAGGCUUCCAGACGGCCAAGGAGAACCCGCGCUACUCCAGCUACCAGGGCUCUCGCAACGGCUACCUGGGCUCGUCCACGGGAGGCUUCAACGCACGCGUCCUUCUGGAGACGCAGGAGCUCCUGCGGCAGGAGCAGCGUCGCAAGGAGCAGGAGGCCAAGGCCAAGCUAGAGAGCGGCACCAGCGUCAGCGCCAACACCUCCAGCAGCUACGGAGAGCCCCAGGGGGAUCCCUCGCACCCCCACUCUCCCUCCCAAGCCUCCACCCCCACCAAAGGGCCCUACCGGCAGGACGUGCCACCCUCCCCCUCUCAACUGGUCCGCCUCAACCGGCUCCAGUCUGUGCAGGAGAAUGCACGGCCAUUUUACUCAUGAGGAGAGAAAGGGAGCACAGGAGGAGAGGGACCAGGAGGAGAGGGACCAGGAGGACUUGAGGAGCCGCAGCAAUAAUGACAUUUUAGAAUGAGAACAAACGUGUGAAGCCAGCUAGCUUUCGAAAUGAGGAGAAACAAUCAGAAACUAUUUUUUGUUUUGUUUUGUUUUUGUUUUGGUCUGGUUGUGAUUUAAUUCUGCAUCUACCAUUUGUCUGUGAAUUUGUCAUUUUGUUUUUCGGGGGGGGGACGUUUUGCUUUUUGUCCAACCAUUGGUUUUUAAACUUGGGUCCAUCGGCUCUUCCUCCUCCAGGAUCAGUGCCUUGAUAUGUAUGACUGACUGUGUGCAUUUGUGUGUGAAGAGGCCACAUGGCAUUGGCAUGUGUGCGGAAUAGAGAAAGCUGCCGUUGUUAACCCUGAUAAUCAGGAUGAUCUAGAUUUUGCAGCUGUACAGAUGUGUGGAGACCUUUCCUGUUGGGACACCAUUUGCUCUGCAGUGGCUUUUCCUAUUCCAAGUGGUUUGGAGCUCGUGGGAGAGUGUCACGGGAGGUACUGUUCUGUGGCUUACUGUACAUGUGGCGUAUAAGAGUGAUGAGUUACGUGCUCAGUAUAUGGUUCUGCACCUGUAAACUGUACCACAAACAAGAUACAGGCCAGAUAUAAUCACAAUAACCGUGGACGUGUACUACACAUUGUGUGUGUGUGUAUGUGUAUGUUAGUGUGUGUGUGUUAUUGUGUGUGUGUGUGUGUGUGUGUGUGUGUGUGUGUGUGUGUGUGUGUGUGUGUGUGUGUGUGUGUGUGCACGCAUGCACGCUCGCCUGCUGUGUUAACCAGCAUGGCUGAGCAGGGGGGGGGGAAACCCCUUUGGCUGAGGGUCAUGAACGUAAGCCUCCUAGGAAAUCCUCUCAAUCUCAGUCACGCUCUUCACUUUGAUUCAUGGUCUGAGGGGCUUCUCCCUCUGUGUCUGUCCUCUGUCCCGUCCCCAUGGCCCAUGGUUUGUUUGUCUGCUCUCCGCUCUUCAGACGGAGGUGAAUCUUUAGAUCUUCUUACACCCUGAGUGGCCCCCUGUCUUGGGAUUUCAUUUAGUAUAAAACAAGGUCAGGGAUGUGUUAUUAAUUAAUGUUACUCAUGAAAAAUGCAUCCGUGUUGACUCACCAGGGGGUGUGAAGUAUUAUGCUUUUUGUGUUCGUGGAUGUGUGUGUGUGUGUCACCAUCGCUGUGUUGUGUCUGGAUGUUUUUAGGGGUUUGCUUUCCAGAUGUGUGUGCACAUCUGUAUCUGAAAGAGAGUGCAAAUGUGUUUUGUGUAUCUGUGUGCAAAUGUUUUUAUUUCUUUGGCCCUAGUCUUGGCUUUUGGUGGAGGUUAAUGGUACCUUUGGCAACCUUUUGUCUUCCUGCUAAGGAGGACACUUUAGCGUGCCCGUUGUCUGGUGGCACAGGUUAAUGGGAGCCUUCUCACACCACUGGCGUGUAUUCCGAUAGCCUGGCACAGAGGUGCUCGUGAUUCCACAGCGGAGCCCAGGCCUGAGUUAUAACUAUGCAUCUUGAGACCUUGUUAAACCUACUGCCGUGUCAUGACAAAUUAAGGCUUUUUUAUUUUAUUUUUUUAAUCCAGUCCAUUUUCCAUUCCAAUCUAUUUUAUGUUGUGUGUGUGUGUGUGUGUGUGUGUGUAGGUAUGUGCGUUUGAGUGAGUGUGCUGGAUCUGUGUGGGUACAUGCGUGUGUGUGUGUGUGUAUACGGGAAGGGCAGUACCUGCAAUAUGAUGUUGCUGUGUGUAUUCACACCCACAGAGAGAAAGAAAAGAACAAGACUGUUUAACAAUAAUUCAAUUCACUCAGCCACUGUGUGUUGCGCUAGCAAUUCACUCAGUCACUGUGUGUAGCGCUAACAAUUCACUCAGUCACUGUGUAUAGCGCUAACAAUUCACUCAGUCACUGUGUAGUGCUAGGAAUUCACUCAGUCACUGUGUAGCGCUAGCAAUUCACUCAGCCACUGUGUGUAGCGCUAGGAAUUCACUCAGCCACUGUGUGUAGCGCUAGCAAUUCACUCAGUCACUGUGUGUAGCGCUAGCAAUUCACUCAGUCACUGUGUGUAGCGCUAGCAAUUCACUCAGUCACUGUGUGUAGCGGUACCAAUUCACUCAUUGACUUUUCAGCACAUUUCCCCCAUUAUUUUUUUAAUCCCCUCAACUUUAAAUCCUGCCCUUCUAGCUGAAAUUGUUAAAAAAGCAGGCCUUAGUGGAUGCUAUUUAAUUUCCUUCAUAAGCACUGCUUAAGCCAUUUUAAAAAUCAGAAGCCAUCUUAAAUUGAACCCAGGACACUUUCAAACAUGUAUGGUUGUAGGUGGUGAGCUAUUGUUUCCUUUGAGGUAUGUGCCAGAGUGUGUGGUGUGUGAAGAAUGGGUUUCUUGGGAUAGGAGCACAAAUCCAGCAGCUGUUUUUGGUACUUGUACCCUUUUCAUAUUUCAUGUGGGUUGCUAUAUGUUAGCCUCGGAUGUGGCUCAAGUGCCUUUAAGGGAGAGAUUUUUAUAUGUUAUCAUGUCAUCUAAUGCACAUUGUUUUUAUUUACAUGCCAUUAUUGUCUUUUGUUUUGUAUGACAAAAUGUUCUUUUGUUUGUGUUUUUUUAUUUCCACAAUGCUUUUUAUUGUAAUCAAUUGAAAAAAAAAUGUAUAUGUAAUUAUGACCUGAUAAUAUUAAUAGCGAAGGUGGUAAUCCUCCUAUUUUUCAUAGCCUUUUUAUUAAUUAGGUACUACAGUGACCUGAGAUAACUCAUGUCUGCACAGUGCAAUUGGUUUUUACAACUUUGACAUGGUGUAUUAAAAGUGUAAACAGCAUCUUUCUGUGUACAUAUCAAAUCAAGAAUAAAAAGGAAGGCUGUUUCUUUCCAAGUUUACAAUGAAUAUUGUGGGUGAUAUCGUCCCUCAUUUGAACAAAAGA